AUCUAGACAGGUGCGAGGGAUUGGCCGAGCUCGACGCCCUCCAUCUAGCUCCUCUAGCUUUUCAGGGCCCUAGACCGCCAGGGAAUAACCCCAGAGGAGUCCUAGGUGGGUCCCGAGCAGGAUGAGGGCUGGGGUCCCCGCCGCCCCCAAGGAUGGGGGAGGGGCAGCAGGAUUGACAGUCCGUAAUUGGGUAACUGGAGGCGGCUUCUCCGGCCCGGCGGCCCCGCCACCGCGACGCCGGGCCCCUGACGUCACCCGAUUCGCCAGGAAAUGAACUUUUUAAUAAUCCAAGGAGGGAGGAAAGCCCUCGGUCCCCUCGGCUCGGGGGGCGCCCAGCCAGGCUCAGCUCUGCAGGCGCGCCCCCAUCACCCCCUCCCAGGUCCUCUGCGGACAGCUCUGUGGGGGCGCGCGCACGGCAGGGCCUCCUCCGGUCUCUGCGGCUGGCAUCCGUCUGACUGUCCGAGGCUUUGGAACAGAUUAUCGCAGCCCUUUCAGAGCGCGCACAACAAAUGCGCCCGCCAUCGAAUGCAGCAUUUACCACCGCAGAUCCGCGCGCCGAUGGGCAGGCAGAUAGCGUCCGCGGGGGGCUCGUCGGGAGGCGAGUGUGCGCCCCGGCUCUGCCUGGUGUGUUUGGAGGAACACGUGGGUAUGCCAGCGAGUGGACCCUGAGCGAGCACGGAUGUGAGUGUACCAGCAAGUGUGCUUCGACAAAGUGCACGUGUGCGAGUCCCUGAGCACACGCGUGGGUUCUGUGAUGUUCCGGACAAGGGCGAAGCGGCGGAAUUCUGACAACUGAUUCGGAUUAUCACAACAUUAGGAACUGGCUGAGGACCAGAAGGGUAAGCCCAAUGGGCCAGGCUGCACAGCUUUCUUUGCAUCACUGAACCUAGGAUACUAGGUGUGAGUUAGGAGUUACUCAGCAGCCACCCCGGCCCCAGAGCCUGACCCCACCCACCUACUCCAUCUGAAUGGCAGCUCCAGUGUCCCUCACUUCUCUGCACCUGCUGUGAAGGUGAACUCAUCCCAUCUUGCUCUGCUAGAGCAGGUCCUGAGUGGUGGUGGUGGCAGCGGCAGCGGUGUGGUGGGGUGGUAGCCGUGACGGUGGUGGUGGCAGCGGUGUGGUGGCGGUGGUAGCUGCGGUGGUGGCGGUGGCGGCGGCAGCGGCAGUGGCACCUGAACCACAGGAGACCACUCUCUCCAUUUAGGUUAACUAGGCACUGCAUUCCUGGCUUUGGUGAUCCAGCUGCUGCUGUGGAACUCAGCAGGCUUCAUCCUGGGGACUGGGAGUGUUGGGAGGGGCGUGGCCAGGAGUGCUGGGAGUUACAGGUACCAGCAGUUCCCUCAGAGCUAUCCUGGAAGAGGAGCUGAGUGGGGACCCUUCCACACCAUCCACACCCCACCCCCACCUCGCACACACCCUCUCAGCUGGGCUCCCGCUCCGAGCCUCUGGUUCUGCCUCCACAGCCCUCCCUCCAGGAUCACGGACUGUUGGUGUGGUGUGCGAGCUUGCCUUUAGAAAGCAUUUUGUGAGCCUGGCUUGUCAAGUUGGCAGACAAAGUCUCUGGCAAGUGCCAUGCCCAAUGUCUGCCAGCACCCUGGAGUGGGAGAUUACAUGUAAAGAAUCUCAUGUCUUGUUUUUUGUGAAACACUUCAAGACUGGCCACUUGCACCUGAGUUCUUGCAUGGGGAUGGAGUUCUGCAGAAUCCCCUCUGAGCACCUGGUGCCCACCCAUUCCCAUUCCCUGGGUCAGGGCCUGUUUCCCACGAGCCACUGACUACUAGUGCUUGUGGUAAUUCUGCCUUUCCUAUCAGCACUGGGGCCUUCUGUCUUGUUUCUCCCUGUAGGACCACUAAACCACUUAGCCAUGUCUUAAUCAGUGAAUUAACACAAGCAACAUUAAGAGGAGGCACACGGCCACCCUAUAAAGGUCUCUGGCUCUGCCUAUUGACCUUCACCCAACCUACCAAAACAGUGAAGCAGCCAGACCUGACUCAGCAUGCAGAUCAAUAAAUCAUCAGGUUAUGGUAAAUAUUGGGAGGGGAUAUGUUUUCUAAUAUCUAGACCUUCCUCCAAAUAGUGGGAGCCGUGGAACAAAAGAAAAGUGGAUGCAGCCACCCUUGUAGCAAGCAGUAGAGGUUUGGUAAGGCAGCGGGCACAGCGAUAGCCAGGAGGAGGUCUGACGACGAGGUACGAGAACUUGGGGACACAGCGUAUAAAGAGGUUGACUCAGCCAACAAGGGGGCUCAGUGUAUAAAGGUUUGCCACCAAGCCUGUCCUGAAUUCAAUCCUUAGAACCCACGUAGUGGAAGGAGAGAGCCAACUUCUGCAAGUUGUCUUCUGGCCUUCCCCCCUCCCCCCAGUAAAUAAGUGCAAAAAAGGUGUCACCAAAUCAACAGAAACCACAGUGGGAAAAUGCACAAGGGUAUAGAGAGACAACUCACUAAAAUUAAUAUGAUGUCUCUUAAAUAAAUCAAAACAUGCAAUUUCCUUAAUCUUUUUCCAUUAAUUCAGCUCCAAAUGUAUUAACUACGUUGUCUUUUUGUGUUCUCUCUCUCUCUCUCUCUCUCUCUCUCUCUCUCUCUCUCUCUCUCUCUCUCUGUUGUUGUCCUUUUGUGGGGUGUGCUGGGGUGGAACUCAGAACCCUGUGAUGACCUCUGAGCCAAGCCAGACUCAGAACUGGGACCAUUUUUGAAAGACAAAUUGCAGCUCUCUGAGUCAGGAUUCACGAGCAGUGGUGACACACGCCUUAAUCCCAGCACUCAGGAGGCAGAGGCAGGCGGAGCUCUGAUUUCUAGGACAGCCUGGUCUACAGAGUGAGUUUCAGGACAGCCAGGGCUAUGUAGAGAGAUGCCUCAAAAAAAACAAAAAUGAAUAAAUAAGAACUCUCUGGUCUUACUGGCCCUGGUUGUGACGGGUCCAGGGUCCAUUUGUAUUGCAGCAGUUGCUCAGCCAUUUUUGGGAACAGAAUGGACCCGAGGUGGCAGCGUGGGGGCAGAGAAGCGCCUGGAGGAUGGUGAGGUGAGGCCAGGGCCCCACCCUGCAGUCUGUCCAUCCAGACCUGACCUCUCCUUUCUGCACAGCUGCUCCCCUGCUCCCUGCCGCUGUCUAUUCCUGCCUGGAUUACCAUAGCAACAUUCUCUCUGGACGGCACAGUCAGGAACCUCUCCUGCCCUUGCUAGGAGAAGCCCUCCAGCCGCCCGAGCUGUGCUCCUGGCUGGCCUACAUGGUGCAGCCCUCUCCCUGGGUGCUGAGUGUUACCUUUCCAGUCCGCUUCUUGCUCAGUUGGGAGAGGAGGGCAUAGUGGGGAGCAGGAGGGUCCUAGGACUUGCAGCUUUCGGGUGCCACUGGACAGAACGGUGCCUGGGAUUCCCCGGGGCACAGGCAGCCUGAGGCUGGUGAUCAGCCAGAGACGAGACCUGGAAUGAAAAUAAACAAAAAUCCAAGGCUCAGUGCAGGGCCAGAGGUCAGCCGUGGGCCAGGUUAGGCCAACUGUGGAAUCUGGGAUGCAGGACUGGGUGUCACGGGCACACAGGGCUUCCAUCUCGGACCCCACAUCCACUCGGUGCAGAGCAUUGAUAUCCCCCCAAACUCCCAGCCUGGCCAAUUGGAACUUCCUGUAGUAAGAUGCAUUGACUGACGAUAGGGAUGUAAUUCAGGCCUGGGAGAAUCACACCGCAACGAAACUCAUCUAUUCUCUCAGGAUCUGUCCUCUUGGUCAGACAGAGCUUUAGAGUGGUGGUACCUUCUUUGUACCACACAGAAGGCUUCCUGAGAGCAGAGCCACACGGGCACAGAGCUGAGAGACAGAGAGAGACUCGUACUAUGUUACCCAUUUUGUUUGUUUUGUUUCUUGAGACAGAGUUUUUCUGUGUAGCCCUGGCUGUCCUGGAACUCACUCUGCAGACCAGGCUGGCCUCAAACUCAGAGAUCCACCUGCCUCUGCCUCCUGAGUGCUGGGAUUAAAAGUGUGCACCACGGUGCCUAAACCCCAGAGCCUGAGCCCAUUCGCAGCCUGGCCUUUGCCGUUCCCUAAGACAAUUUGGCACCUCUGUGCUUUCCCCUUUCCUUGGUCCGAGGUGAGCUUCUACUUCUUACAACUGAACAUGCCCUGACCCCACCGCUGUGGUUGGUCAGAACCAGCUACAGUCUCUGCCUCUGAGAGGGGCAGCCCUCCUCCGACUGACUGCUGGGAGGCUCUUGCCAGUGACCUGGGGUGGUGGCAAUGGUGCCGUGAAGGGUCCUGGCCUGAAUUAUCUGCUCUACUUCUGAGUUCUUAGAAGUCUUGGGAAUCCUGAGUGGACUCAAAAAAGCUCAGGCAUGCAAGGCCACUGUGUGGUGAGUGUGGAAGCCCACAGCAGUCAGGAGAGGUCUCUAGUGGGUCUUAGUUGUGCCAGCCAUGGGCCAUUGGCUGGACACAGAUACUCCAGGUCAGGUUAGUGACCCCUGUGAGUCCGUUUCUUCAUCUAUCAAGAUUUCUUUCUUUCUUCAUUCAUUUUCCAUCUCCACCGUGAAGAGUAUAAAGAGAUGGUUGGUGUGUCUGUGUUGCGGGAGGUCCUUCCACUCCUCCAGCCAAUAGCCGCUGAGAUACCAGCUCAUUGGGACGUGGUCUCUCUCUCCCUUUAAAAAAGCGGCCACUUCCCUUCUCCCUCUCUCUUACUUCCUGCUCCGCUUCGGCGGUGACUAGACUCCCUUCCUGAUUGCGCAGAGGGCUGUUGUCUGGGACAGUGAUCUGUAAGUUUUUUCCCCUUUAAAUAAAUAACCAUUCUAUUAAUCAUAAUUCCAAACUGGUGUGGGAUUGUUUUUGACUUACGCCUUCGCCUUCAUGUCUGAGGUCUAACCUGCAAAACAAAAAUCACUUUUUAAAAAAUGGAAAAGAGGUUGAUAAGAUGUCUCAGUGAAUAAAGCUACCUACCAGCAAGUGUGACAGCGCGAGUUUGAUUCCCAGGACCCAGUGGAGGAAGAAGGAGCCUCUGCUCUCAAGUUGUCCUCUGACCUCUGUGUGUGUGUGUUGUGUACAAGAACAUACCACGCACACACACACACUACACAUGUACAUGCACGCACACAUGCACAUACAGGCAUUAUAAAUGUGUGUGGAACAUACCACACAUACAACACACACACACUACACACGUACAGGCACGCAUACACAUACAGGCAUUAUAAUUGUUUGUGGGCAGAGUAGAUGGUAGUAGGCAAGUGAGGGCCGGA